rnacentral:rRNA from 1 species
CAGCAGCCGCGGGAAAACGGAGGGUGCAAGCGUUAUCCGGAUUUAUUGGGUUUAAAGGGUCCGUAGGCGGAUCUGUAAGUCAGUGGUGAAAUCUCACAGCUUAACUGUGAAACUGCCAUUGAUACUGCAGGUCUUGAGUAAAUUUGAAGUGGCUGGAAUAAGUAGUGUAGCGGUGAAAUGCAUAGAUAUUACUUAGAACACCAAUUGCGAAGGCAGGUCACUAAGAUUUAACUGACGCUGAUGGACGAAAGCGUGGGGAGCAAACAGGAUUAGAUACCCCUGUAGUCCCUGUCUCUUAUAC